GUGGUUGUAGCUCAGUUGGUUAGAGCGCUGGAUUGUGGUACCAGAUGUCGUGGGUUCGAGUCCCAUCUUCCACCCA
rnacentral:tRNA from 1 species